CCUACGGGAGGCAGCAGUGAGGAAUAUUGGUCAAUGGUCGGGAGACUGAACCAGCCAAGCCGCGUGAGGGAUGAAGGUACAGAGGAUCGUAAACCUCUUUUGUCAGGGAACAAAGGCGGGGACGUGUCCCCGGAUGAGAGUACCUGAAGAAAAAGCAUCGGCUAACUCCGUGCCAGCAGCCGCGGUAAUACGGAGGAUGCGAGCGUUAUCCGGAUUUAUUGGGUUUAAAGGGUGCGCAGGCGGCCGGGCAAGUCAGCGGUAAAAGCCCGGGGCUCAACCCCGGCCCGCCGUUGAAACUGGGAGUCUUGAGUGGGAGAGAAGUAUGCGGAAUGCGCGGUGUAGCGGUGAAAUGCAUAGAUAUCGCGCAGAACUCCGAUUGCGAAGGCAGCAUGCCGGCUCCACACUGACGCUGAGGCACGAAAGCGUGGGUAUCGAACAGGAUUAGAUACCCUUGUAGUC
rnacentral:rRNA from 1 species